CAGGGGAACAUAAUGGCAAGAUUUCUCGUGCUGCUUUCCGAACCGACUGCUGCUAGCCUCUGCUGGAAGGGGGAUGAGAUGCGUGGGGAGCGUUGCAAACCACACCUCCUCGCUUGGACCUGCUCUGAUUCUCUGUUUACAGUGGCGGUGUCAUUUCUUCGCUGGCUUUCUGGUGUGGAAUACUGCUGGUGGCAGGGAAGGGGAACGACACCGUCCUGCUUCUGGAGGUAUUUGGGGACAGCUGCUAGGAGAGAGGAAAGGAGGCUGUGUAACAGGGGAAAGGAGGUGCAGGAAGGCUCUCUUAGCUCUUCCAUUUGCCCCUGCCCUGGGGGAGAAAGCUCUGCAGAGAUGGAGAAGCAGAGGGGUUCGUGCUUGAGAUACGUCCACUGGGAAGCAGACGAGGAGGGGGAUGAGGAGGGUGAGGUGACUCCUGGUGCUUCUCCUUCCAGCCGAAUGACUGAACUGGAAGACGUGGAGGUGGAGAUGCUCAAAAAGGCAAGGGAGCUCUUCCAGCUGUGUGACAAGGAUGAGAAGGGCUUUAUCACCAAGCUGGACAUGCAGCGGCUUCAGAGUGAACUCCCCCUAACGCUUGAGCAGCUGGAGACUGUUUUUGACAGCUUGGAGCAGAACAACAAUGGAUACCUGACGCCUGUGGAGUUCAGCAUGGGGCUGGGAAAGUUGAUAGGGAUUGACGUGUGUCAGGGGGGCGGAAGGACAGAUCGCUCCAGUCACGAGGAGACCUUUGAGUCAGGCUGGUCAGAUGAUAUGGACCCGGCAGAUGAUGAAGAGAAACGCUUCUGCUCCAUGAUGGAGCAGCUUGGAGCAGCCCAAGUGUUUGAAGAUCCAAGUGAGGUUCGGGACCUUUGGGCUCGGCUACGAAAGGAGCGCCCGGAGCUCUUAGCCAGUUUUGAGGAGUUUCUGUUGCGUGUUUCAUCGUACAUCAAGGAGGUGAAUCAUGAGAAGGAGUCUAUGGAGCAGGCAUUGAAGCGGAAGGAGACAGACCAUGACCGAGAAGUCAGGUGCCUUUAUGAAGAAAUGGAGCAACAGAUCAAAGCAGAAAGGGAGCGGAUAAUAUGCCAGGAAGCACUGAGACAUGACAGGAGUAACCUGCUCCAAAAGGAACUGCGUAGCAAAGAGCAGGAGCUGGAGAAAAUUCUCUACCGUCAGAAGAAGCUGGAACACCAGCUGCAGUCUCUGAACUCGGAGCAGCUGGAGACCCGUGUGCAGAAUGAAAGGCUCCGGCACCUGAACGAAAACCUGCUGGAGGAGCUGGAGAAAAGCAAAUGGGAGCUGGAGGCUGUGAAGGGGCAACUACAGAAGCUCCAGAAAGAGGCCCAGCUUGAGCAAGAGCAGAAGGACAGGGAUGUGUUCAGAGUCUCCAAGAACAUGCAGAAAGAGAAACAAAGCCUCCUUCGGCAGCUGGAGCUCCUCAGAGAGAUGAACAAGAAGCUUCGAGAUGAGCGAGACACUUUCGAAGCCAAGAAGCCGGCGCCUCAGAGCAAAAAGCCCCUCUUGAAGAACGGGUCAGUGCUAGGCAGCUACCUGCAGGACGACAAGCCGGUCAAACGCUGGGCCUGGAAGAUAGGGACCGUUCCCCGGAGCCUGAGCCCAGGAGGAUGUGUCUGUUCUCCAUGGGCAGAGGUUCCAGCUGCCCAGCUCCAGAUUUGGGGAGAUGCAGGGAGGAUGACCAGGGACGUGAGCUCCAUUAAAGACCAGGCUGAAUAUUGCAGCAGACAACUGGCCUCUGCGGACCUUCCUAUCGCCUUCCCAGCGGAUAUGGCCAUGGAAGAACCCAACAGGAAGAGCUGUAAAUACUUCCCAGGCAGCGAGUCGUGGCUGAAGACAGGAGAAGGAGGCAGCACAAACUUUGGGGAGAACAGCAGAGCCAAGGAGAGGUGGCCAGCGGCAGCAGAUGCUGAGAGGUUGAAGGUGACUUUGAAGGGUGAUGCUGAAUGUAGAAAAAAUGCCGAUGGCUUGGAUGAUGCUCCAUUGCCUCCUAGAGGACAGCCCGUUGGCACUGAAACCAGGCUCCAGGUGCUGGAACCAGCCAGUUGCUCCCCAGAUCGCAUCUUCAAAGUGGUGUUUGUAGGGAACUCCGGCGUUGGCAAGAGCUCCUUCAUCCACCGCUUCUGCUAUGACAGGUUCUUGGCUGAGCUCAACGCAACCAUCGGUAUUGAUUACCAGGUGAAGAGCCUGAUGGUGGAUAACACCCAAGUUGCUUUACAGCUGUGGGAUACAGCUGGACAAGAAAGGUAAGCAAACUGUGAGGGUUCCCCACUGCCAGGCUCAGAGUAGAAAAGAGGAUGAAAGGGAAAGGAAUGUGUGCGCCUGGAUUCAGUCCCUAGGAAAAUGAUUUCAAAAGCAUAGGUCAUCACUAGAAGAUGUCACCAGCACUGUUGGAGAGGGUCAGAGUAGUAGAGGACACGCUUCACUCUCACCUGCUAGACAUGCAGGCCCACCACUACCUCUGUGUAAAUUAUACUUUAUUUAGGAUGUACUUUGAAGCUUAAGAUCAAAAGCUUUUGCAAGGGGGCUGCUAACCUCAGAGCCUAGCAAAAAGAAGUGUUGGGUGUUCCAUGCUAAAGAUGGACCAGGCCUUUGGGAGGCAGCUAAAGUCAGGGGAAUGUGGCAAUCCUGAGCUGUGCCGACAGAAUAGCGAUGCUGUCUGCCUCAGCCAGCUAGACCAGUAGGAUGCUCUAUUGAAAAGUGAACUCCUUCUUCCAAACUCAAGGUUCACACUGAAGAGAUCAAGAUUUCUAUUUAAGGGGACUACUGUGGGGUUUUUCGGUGCUGAAGCGGAGCAGGAAGUUGUUAGGACAUGAAACGUGGCUGUUUGCUGAGGCCAGGUUGCGUCAGAGGCCAAACUCAAUAUAUUGGCUCUGCAGAAGAACCAUUAGAGUAUGCCCCUGAAGCGUUAGCAGGUCUUAGAUGUGUGCUUGCAGGAAAGAACUUGGCUCAGCGCUGAUACUGAAGAGGAGGUUUGGAAAGAAGCCAAAGCUUUCCUUACCUCUAGAGAAAUACAGAUUACUUCUAACUGGAGGGGCCUGACUGAGUAUCCUACGGAUGAGACAGAAGAACUCCUCAGAGCGGGCAGGAGAGAGCUCCUUGGUGACUCCCCUGAAACUGGUUCAUGCUGCAUUUUAUGUUUCUUCUGGAGCACUUAACCUAUCCUCUAGCUGCAGAGGUGCACCUUGGCUGCCAAAGACACAGGCUGCGCUUUCUCAGCUGGGGCAGCUGCCAGAAUGCCAUGCCCUUAGCGGAGGGAGACAGGACAGGCUUCAGGCAAUCGGCUGAAGGGUUCAGGAGGGUCACUACUUGCUGUGCAUUUUCUUGGCUCUUAAUAGAAUAGGAGAGCUUGUUAUCCUGUGCAGGGCAGAAAUACACAGCUGCCUGCUGAGAUCCCAUACUUGCGCUGUGUUCAGUUCCAUCCGUUUCCAUGCAAUGUGAUGUUAUGUCAUGGCCUAUCACAAACUGCUUGCAGGUUUUAGGCAUUUUUAUUAUUAUUAUUUAUUAUUGGAGUUUAUUCCCAAAAUACAAGUCUGUUGUUCUAACAGGUACCCACAGGACCAAGUAGAUGUCUGGUGGGAGUUUCUCCUGGAAAUUGUGUCUAACUGCGGAGUUUAUGUAUGGCAGCAUCGCUUUGUAGGUUUAAAACUGGAAACAGACUGUACUGAUGCUGAGAUCUUAAUUGCUGUUUUGGCAACACUGGGGCAGACACUAUGCACGCCUAGUUUAUUCUAUGGCACAGCUUAGUCUGCAGAUUCUUCCAGACUUCAGAGAAAGAUCACGUUUUUUUCCACCCAGUUCCCUUUUUACAGGUUAUUACCUCUUCUUAUCCCACCUAAACAGACUCUUCCAUGUUUCUUUUCCCAAUCUGGAAAGGCCUUCCUUCCUGCUUUCUCAGCACAGCGUGUUUGGAAAGACUCCUGCUAUUCGUGGCUGCCUGGCCUGCUGCACAGUUGGGGUCUCAAAGGCCCGCGGAUUUGACCUAUUUGUCACCAGUCCGUGUGCGCCAGCCCCAGGGGACGGGGACACAUCGCAC